GACGUAGGGUGCAAGCGUUGUCCGGAUUUAUUGGGCGUAAAGAGCUCGUAGGCGGCUUGUUGCGUCGACUGUGAAAACCCGCGGCUUAACCGCGGGCUUGCAGUUGAUACGGGCAGGCUAGAGUUCGGUAGGGGAGACUGGAAUUCCUGGUGUAGCGGUGGAAUGCGCAGAUAUCAGGAGGAACACCAAUGGCGAAGGCAGAUCUCUGGGCCGUAACUGACGCUGAGGAGCGAAAGCAUGGGGAGCGAACAGG
rnacentral:rRNA from 1 species